CGCACAUGUGCCCCUGCAGGGUGGCAUAGACGGCGAGCCCAGGGAGGCCACUGACAUGCAUUCAAGAGAAAAGAAAAGAAGCCAGGCUUUGGCAUAAGUGCUUCAUGGUGGAGUGAGAAUGGCUUGCCCUGGAAGGGUCAUGUUUUAGAAGGAGUGAUCUUCAUUGUGAAGUCUAAACUGUUCUGGAAAUAUAAGCUUUGAAACCCAGUACUGAAUUCUCACAGGAAGUCUCAGACGAAGACACUGCUAACUCCACUUUCAGAGAGAAACACUGAGGCUCAGAGCUAAACUAACUCGCCUCAGAGCCCACAUCCUGGACUUGAGCCUCAGGGUGUUGCAUGCCAAAGCCUGUCCUCUUCACCCCAGCUUCCUGGGCAUUGGAGCGGAUCCAUAGUGUUAGAUAUGCAGUGGGAAUGGCCCCCAUUCCAAGCCACUUCCUGACCUGAUGGCAGCACCCUGCUAGUCCUCACAUGGAGCCCUGGAGAAGCCGGGUUCCUUAACCCAGAUUUGAAUCAAUAGCCUCACACCUGGUAUGCACAUCCAGGCCAAGUGUGGCUGAAUGGGGAGCAUCUGUUCUGGAGACGGCCACCCUCAUGGGCUCCUCUGCUUCCUGUCCCUUCGGGCACUGAUUUAUGGCACACAGCAGGGAAGGGCCUGAGCUUGAGCCCUGACCAUCGUUAUCAUCACCAUCUUCAUUCCAGUGCAGUGAAGAACAUUCUGAAGGUAGAGAUGAAGGUCUUCUUUCUGAAUGAAGCUCCUUGCAUGAUUCAGGGAUCUUCCUCUUGAAGGCACCAAUCAUUUUGACUUUAAUGCAUGCACUCUGACUUACUUGUGGUGAUCUCUCCUGGAAAUACAUGGAAAAAUGAAAAAUAGGCUAACUGGGGAGAUUUCUUAAAUACCAGUUUGUAUGGCUGUG
rnacentral:lncRNA from 10 species